UUUAAAAAAAUGAAUAUGAACUGUUCAUCACAUUUAAUCGCAACCGUUCGAUCGCGCCUGAGGAGGGAACGGAUCUGGACUGUCCACGCGCGCGGAUUGCCAGCGUAGCCUUACACGUGGUACUGAGUCAGCGAGCCUUGCUACACGGCGCGCUUCGUUUAGUUGGGGCUACUGACUGGGCAGUUCUACGUGGUGUAAUUU
rnacentral:lncRNA from 1 species